rnacentral:lncRNA from 1 species
CAUCACUGAGGGAGAUCACCAAAUGUCAGGACGACCUCAGAGAAGAUAACGAAUCCUUAAGAAAACAGUUAAAUGAUGAGAUUAUAGAGAAGAAGUACUUGAAUGAACAAAUGAGGACAGGAGAAGCUUGUUUCAGCUACCUGGAAUGGAAACAUCAGUUUAUAAUGGCAGAGAUGUAUAAGGAUACCUGUGAAGUGGCACAACAGAUGACACCUUUCAUGCAGGAAGAAGUGAGGGCAGCAUCAAAAGGGGAUAAGCUACCACCGAACUCUGAAGUUUAUGGGCUUCUGACUGUCCUUAUGGAUUGGAUCUCAGACGAGCACCUUAGCAAACUCCAGAGACAAGAAGAAAGAAAGGAGAGUCAGAAACCUCAGUCUAGCAAAAGAACCUACCUCCAGGAGAAGUGUUUGAAGGUAAAGGGACUUGAGUUUGCUCUGGUUCAUGUGUUUUCAGCUUCACAUAUAUACUGACUGGUUUUAUUGUGAGAGUAGAAAAGGUCAGCCUGUUUUGCAUAGACCUCGGAUAGAGUAAUGAAAGCAGAACGGCAGUUACUAAGUCAGUAUGAAUCCCAGCAGUCAGAUGGAAUGGCUGCGUUGUCACUUAUAAAACAGAGCCAUCGUUUUGAAGGAAAAGUGUUGUGUUCAGUCUCAACUUGCAAGUUUCAGCCCGUCUUUUAU